rnacentral:rRNA from 1 species
UCGGGAAUUUUGGGCAAUGGGCGAAAGCCUGACCCAGCAACGCCGCGUGAGGGAUGAAGUAUUUCGGUAUGUAAACUUCGAAAGAAUGGGAAGAAUAAAUGACGGUACCAUUUAUAAGCUCCGGCUAACUACGUGCCAGCAGCCGCGGUAAUACGUAGGGGGUAAGCGAUGUUCGGAUUUACUUGGCGUAAAGGGCGUGUAGGCGGCGCGGUAAGUCACUUGUGAAAUCUCUGAGCUUAACUCAGAACGGCCAAGUGAUACUGCUGUGCUGGAGUGCGGAAGAGGCAAACGGAAUUCUUGGUGUAGCGGUGAAAUGCGUAGAUAUCAAGAGGAACACCUGAGGCGAAGGCGGGUUGCUGGGCGGACACUGACGCUGAUGCGCGAAAGCCAGGGGAGCAAAC